rnacentral:rRNA from 1 species
ACUCAAAGGAAUAGACGGGGGCCCGCACAAGCGGUGGAGGAUGUGGUUUAAUUCGACGCAACGCGAAGAACCUUACCUGGGCUUGACAUCCCGCGACCGCUCCAGAGAUGGAGUUUCCUCUUCGGAGGCGCGGAGACAGGUGCUGCAUGGCUGUCGUCAGCUCGUGUCGUGAGAUGUUGGGUUAAGUCCCGCAACGAGCGCAACCCUUGUCCUUAGUUGCCAUCGGGUUAAGCCGGGCACUCUAGGGAGACUGCCGGUGACAAGCCGGAGGAAGGUGGGGAUGACGUCAAGUCCUCAUGGCCUUUAUGCCCAGGGCCACACACGUCCUACAAUGGCGCGUACAAAGAGCAGCGAGCCGGCGACGGUGAGCGAAUCUCAAAAAGCGCGUCUCAGUUCGGAUUGCAGUCUGCAACUCGACUGCAUGAAGGUGGAAUCGCUAGUAAUCGCGCAAAAGUAUGGCGCGGUGAAUACGUUCCCGGGCCUUGUACACACCGCCCGU